rnacentral:tRNA from 1 species
AGUUCCAUGGUGUGAUGGUGAGCACUCUGGACUCUGAAUUCAUAGCUCUGAGCUCAAGUCUUGGUGGGACCC